rnacentral:rRNA from 1 species
GUAGUCUGCAACUCGAGUACAUGAAGCUGGAAUCGCUAGUAAUCGCAAAUCAGAAUGUUGCGGUGAAUACGUUCCCGGGCCUUGUACACACCGCCCGUCGCACCAUGGGAGUUGGAAGCACCCGAAGUCGAUGACCUAACCGCGAGGGAGGAGUCGCCGAAGGUGAAGCCAGUGACGUGGGGUGAAGUCGUAACAAGGUACC